rnacentral:lncRNA from 1 species
AUAUAAACAAGCUUAGAAGAUUAAUGUAGAUUAGUAGGUCUACCUUAGGUAGACCUGUAAAUCAGUCCUUUUGUUUGAACAAGCACCUGUCUCUAUAUGUCAGAAGUGAAGAGAAUUUAAUCUGUAAUAAUAAUUGUCUAAUAGAGUUUUACUUCA